rnacentral:rRNA from 1 species
UACAGAGGGGGCAAGCGUUGUUCGGAAUUACUGGGCGUAAAGCGCACGUAGGCGGCUCAGCAAGUCAGGGGUGAAAUCCCGGGGCUCAACCCCGGAACUGCCCUUGAAACUGCUAAGCUAGAAUCCUGGAGAGGCGAGUGGAAUUCCGAGUGUAGAGGUGAAAUUCGUAGAUAUUCGGAAAAACACCAGUGGCGAAGGCGACUCGCUGGACAGGUAUUGACGCUGAGGUGCGAAAGCGUGGGGAGCAAACAGG